rnacentral:lncRNA from 1 species
AUUUUUUUUUUUUUUUUUUUUUUUUUUUUUUGCACAGGGAAACAUAGCUGAAUUAAAAAUCUGCUUUACCCAUCUUAAGGAGAGUAAUAAGACAAAAAUUGGAAUGACAAUAAUAAAUAAAAGUGGAUACCCUAACGACAAUCAUUUAAUGGCAUUUAUUCAAUGCUUACUACACCAAAAAUCUUCCUUUUGUCCCUUUCUGCUAUAGCUAUGAAUAGGUAUUUAAUAAAAUUUUAUGAUAAAAGAGCUUUUUCCCAGUAAUAGCAUGGACACCAUAAAAAAAUAUAAACGGGCUUUUGUGUUCAACCUCUUCAGUUUUAGAGAUUCACAGGACCAGCUAAUUUUGUGGCAAGGUUGGAAAUUCAACCCCAAAGUCCUAAUUAAUAAGCCCAGUCUUGGACUUAAUUUAUUUUUACAAUUGAAAUGCAUAGACAUAUGUGUCAUAUUCUUAACAUUUUCUAUUAAUAAUCAGUCCUGAAAUUGUAUUGAUACAGAGGCUGACUUCCAAAAGCAGUAAUAAAAUCGAACAAUAUGUAACGCACUCCUCGUAUGAGUUGGAUGAAUGUAAACUGAAUUUCAUACUUGCAACUGACUAUAAAAUUGAAUGAAUGGCAUGAUUCAUUUAACAAAUAUUAAUUGAGUACCUGCUCUGUGUAUCAGCUUUGUGGAUCCAUUAUUGAACAAAGCAGUCAAAAAUCCUCACCUGUAUGAAGAUAUUUAUUCUAGAAGGAAAACAAAUUAACCAAGGAACUAUAUAAAGUAUCCAUAUAUUGAAUAGUAGCAAGUGAUACAAUUUUUUAAAAAGUUAAGGACAUGUUAAGUCUAAGAAUUAAAAUAACAAUUUUAAUUGGGGUAGUUUGGCUGGAAUACCUCACUAAAAACAUUAUUUAAAAAAUUAAGAUAUGAAGGAAAACAAAUAUGUGUGAGAAGAGAAUCCAGAAAAAGGGAACAACCAGAUCAAAGACCUUCAGGUGGUGUGUGACCUUAAUGCAGUUUUGAAAUUAUAAAGGCGGAGUAGGCAAUGACUGAGUACAAAUGUUGUGGUAGAUGAGGUCCAUGAGGAGAAGAAAGUCAGAUUAUAAGUAAGUUUACAGAACAAAUAGAAUGCCCUAGCAUUCACUUUGAAAAGGAAAACAGUGAUCAAUUAAAGCCUUUUCAGUAGUGUGGUAUUGUGAUCUGUCCUAAGUUUAACCAGGGUCACUCUGGCUUCUUUUUAAAAUAGACUAAAAAGUAAAAGAAAAAGCAGAGAAAUAGGUAGAAGUUUAUUCUAAAAUUUAGGUAAGAGACUUGGACUAGUGUGCAAGCAAGAAUUGCUGAGAUAUAUUUUGAAAGAAAUGCCAGUAGUAUUUACUCAAGUUGUGUAUGUGAGAGAAAAAUAAAAGACUAAAGGAAGUCUGUUUUUUUUUUAACUGGGAAACUGGAAGGAAAGAAUUGUUAUUGACUGUGUUGGUGAAGACAAAACAGGAAAUUUUAGGGGUGGAUGUGAAGGUCUCUGUUCUUGACUUAUUAAAUUUUAUAUAACUAGCUUAUGUAGUUGUACAAGUAAGUUUGGAGUUCAGAAAGUAUUAGGAGCUGGAGACAUAAAUUUGAAAGGCAUCGGUACUGGCAUGGAAUUUGUCUUCGAAACUGGAUGAAAUCACUUAGGGGAAUCAAUAUAGAGAUACAGUUCAAAGAUUGAAUCUUGAGGUAGCUUAAAAUUUAGAGGUUUUCUAGAUUAUUUAAGAAAAAAGUAGACUGAGGAAAAGUAGUCAGCAAAAUAGAAGGAAAA